rnacentral:rRNA from 1 species
CCAGACUCCUACGGGAGGCAGCAGUGGGGGAUAUUGCACAAUGGGGGAAACCCUGAUGCAGCGACGCCGCGUGAGUGAAGAGGUAUUUCGGUAUGUAAAGCUCUAUCAGCAGGGAAGAAAAUGACAGUACCUGACCAAGAAGCCCCGGCUAACUACGUGCCAGCAGCCGCGGUAAUACGUAGGGGGCAAGCGUUAUCCGGAUUUACUGGGUGUAAAGGGAGCGUAGACGGUUAUGUAAGUCUGGAGUGAAAGCCCGGGGCCCAACCCCGGGACUGCUUUGGGAACUGUACGGCUGGAGUGCAGGAGAGGUAAGUGGAAUUCCUAGUGUAGCGGUGAAAUGCGUAGAUAUUAGGAGGAACACCAGUGGCGAAGGCGGCUUACUGGACUGUAACUGACGUUGAGGCUCGAAAGCGUCGGGAGCAAACAGGAUUAGAUACCCUCGUA